rnacentral:rRNA from 1 species
AUGGAGGACGUGAUCUUCGAGGGUGGGCAUGGCCGUGCCUACGACCCCGAGGAGACCCAAAGUCAGGAUGGCCGCGCCCAGUACGUGCCCGAUGAAGAGGCCGACAACCGUGCUGACUACGACCAUGGUGACUCGUGGCAUGAAGAUAAUGACAUCUAUGUCGAAGGUGAUGGUGAUGAAGAAGAAGGCAAUGACGUUGAUAUUAGUGGCGAGCCAUUGUUCAUCGACGAGCUCACCCAAAGAGCGAAAGCACAAAAGAAGAGGAAGAGCAUUCGCACGGGUUCAUAUACACAAGAUGAGGACAAGUUGAUUUGCCAAGCUUGGAUGGAGAUUAGCCAAGAUCCGAGGACCGGCGCGCAACAAAAGGGCAUUGUUUUUUGGACGAGAGUCCACAAAACAUUUCAUGAAAGGAAGAUGUUUGAGCCCUACCAAUUUACAAGCAACCGUGGCAUCAGCUCGAUUCAAAAGAGAUGGUUGUUCAUCCAACAAGAGUGCAACAAGUAUUGCGCCGCAUUUGAGAGCGUUGAAGCACGACCCGUGAGUGGUCUCGGCGUUGGGGACAUGGUAUGCUCUCCUCUUCCUAGCCCUUUCCUUGCUACGGCCAUGAGACUUCGGCCGUGUAUAUAUGUUUGCAUGUUCACUUGUUGUUGA